UCUGGUCAAACUGAAAAUUAAUGAUAAUAAAUAAAUAAAUGGUUGGGGAAAAAAAAUAAACCUUUUCUCUUCUGCAUGAGCAUUUAAGUUGGGCCCCACAGCUCAGCAAUUAUUUUUCCUCUCUUCCUCCUCCAGGUCAGGAUUUGGGGCAGGCACUACAGGCCCAGGGCAGGGAUUCACACCCGGGUUGGCCAUGUGGGAUCCGACUCCCUUAACUCCUUGGGGAGGGAGUGAAGGCCGUCGGCGAGGGGCGGGGCCUCGGCGAGGGGCGGGGCGCGGCUAGACCCGCCCCCUCUGGUCCGGGUAGGCGGUGAGAAGGCGCGAGCAGCGACAGGAGCGGGACCUGUGGUGAGGGGCGGGGCCUCGUCAGGGGCGGGGUCGCAGCAGGGGCGGGGCGCUGGUCAGCCCCGCCCCCAGCCGCGGAGUAGGCCGUGAGGGCGCGAGCCGAGCUCAGUGGGCGGGGCUUAGGGCGCGUGGCGUGGCGGGAACUGCACACGGCUGCGGGCGCGGCGCUGACGUCACCGACCGGCGUCUUGGGAAGACGCCAAGAUGGCGGCGAGCAGUGUUCCGGCUCCGGGCAGGACGCCGACCCGCAGAACAGGAACCUGCCCAGAGCCACAGGAGGCUGGAGAAGCGGGGCCGGGGCCAGCCACACAUGGUCGGGGACUCAAACCUCAGCCCCGUGUGGGGCCCGGCCGCUGCACUCGGUCGCACCCUGGCACCCCGUGGGAGUGGACUCACACCGUGCGACCUUCGGUGGCUGGUUCCGCUGGGCACGGCACCUUCCUGUACCAUAGUGUUUGAUCCACAUAGAAGGCUGUGUUCGCUAGGCUCGGCCCUGGAAUACCUAUCUUGGACCCUGGGCAGGAGGGUGGAGAGUUCAAGGCCGGCCUGGGCAGCACAAGCUGGAGUCUCUCAACACAACAGGAACAGGAAGGCAGGUGCCUCUGGCCGCGACCUUGGCCCCGUUUUACAGGUGAGGAGACAGGUGAGGAGACAGGCGCGGAGAAGCCUGGCGGGGUGCCGGGGUCCCUCGAGCCCUGGUCUUGAUGGCGUGCCUCCGAGUCUGUGUCCUGACCCCCACUCAAGUCCUGAAGGGUGCAUGAGGGCCAGCAUCCUGGUGAAAGGCCCCUUCCUCCAUGGGGACCGGAGGCACGCCUGGCCUGACCGCCCUGCCCUGCCCUGACCGCCCUGCCCUGCCCGCCCUGCCCGCCCUGCCGCAGAACCGCCGAGCGGCUGCCCUGGCCGCUUCCCUGGGCCUGGGGCUGCUGUCCACUCCUGGGAGCCCUCAGGCCCCAGGCUGGGGCAGUGUCUUUGUUCACGACUUUAGCAAACGGGAACCGACCAGGGCUUGCUUUGCUGUGGCUGGUCUAUUUCUGCCCGCUCUGCUGGUCUCAGUGAGCUGCUGGUCUCGUUUCUGUUGGCGCGGCCUUACCCGAGGGUCCCCGGUUACAGCCUGUUGUCUCCCGUGUUUCUGUCUGCGUGCUCCGGGGGCGGGCCUCGUUCUUGCUGAGUCUCGGGUGGCCUGUGCUUCUGCACGCGCGGGCUCAGCUGCAGCGGGCAGGCAGCAGGCGAGGCUGGCGGGCGAUGCGCGGCCCAGACACCCGUGCUCACUCACUCGGCCCUCAGUGCUCACGUGCUCUCGGGUGCUGCCCGCACCUCCGAGACGGGGCCAGGACGAGCCCAAGGUCUCAGGUCUCCGACUGCAAAGCCAGCGAAGUCGUCUCUCGUGAGGGCCAGGGGUCCGUUCGCUGUGUCCUCACCCUUGAUCCUGGAUGACCUCCACAGACAGGGGUGACGGAACCCUCCUGUCCGGCCCCGCCCCACACUUCUGGGGCAGCGAGCGUCCACGUCCACUCACAGUGGGAGAGGUUCGGGGCUUCUGUCACCCCGGAAGCCGCUGGUCACCGAGGAGCUGGGUCUUGGGGCAGUGGAGGAAGUGAGUCAGAGCCCGGGCCGGGCUGCUGUCUGCCUCCCACGAGCCGCGCCGUGUCACCAUCCCCUGCUGCAGCCAGAGCUGGCCACCAGCCACCCCUGCCAGUGACACGACUUGGCAGGGGGUGGGAACACAGGGGUCCCGGCUCACAGCCUCAUCCCACGGCACCCGCCGGGCAGUCCCUGCUGCUGCUGCCACUCCAGACGGCCCUGAGCCCCCGCCGGUUCCAGACGUUUUCUUGGCCACAGCUGAGGGCCGUGAACUGAAGUUUUUGUUGUUAAUUUCCCAGAGAGCGUGUGUACUUGCCGGAGAGCGACAGAGCAAUGCAGAGAAGCGUGGCCGCCAGGCCGCGGGCCGAGCAGACGAGCCCCUGCCGCGACCAGGCGCCCAAGGAGCCACACUGCUGGGGACGGGGACGGAGGAGCGGUCCCAGAAGGGAGCGGCCGGCUGCGGAUGCGGGAGCGGUUGCUAGGAGACGCGACGCCGCACCAGGCAGCACUGCCACGGGACCCUCCCACGAGGGCUGAUCUGCAAAGGAAAUCCACACCGGAUGAGUAAGGCCCCGUCGGUCUUCCCGGUGUGUGCCUCCAGCACUGGAAGUGGCGAGAGAGAACGCCGACAAUUUAAAAUAGUGCGCAGAAAAAGGGAACCGGCCGGCUGGUGUACGGACCCCACGCGGCCAACCUCGCAGCUCCAGGCCCAGACCCGGCGGCUUGAGAAACAUACAGGACAUGAGUCACGCGCCCAGGAUACCAGGGGGAGGCCGGAGGCCACGGGAUUGUGGCGUGGCCAUCCCUCGCCCCCCGGAGCGAUUUCUCACUUCUCCUCCCUCUCUCCUCGGCAAGCA